rnacentral:rRNA from 1 species
GUAGUUGAACUUCUGGGCGUUUGUACAGCGGCUUCGGUCGAGGUAGAAGCGUUCAUCCGUCUGAGAACCAUAUACGGCCUUUAGUGGUCGGUGUGAGGAUCAGGCACUUUACUUUGAAAAAAUUAGAGUGUUCCAGGCAGGCAAUCGCCUUGAAUACACAAGCAUGGAAUAAUGGAAUAGGACUAUGGUCCAUUUUGUUGGUUAUUGGGCUAUAGUAAUGAUUAAAAGGAACGGCCGGGGUGAUUUGUAUUUAAUAGUCAGAGGUGAAAUUCUUGGAUUUAUUAAAGACAAACUAAAGCGAACGCUUUUCACAAGAGCGUUUUCAUUAAUCAAGAACGAAAGUUAGGGGAUCAAAGACGAUCAGAUACCGUCCUAGUCUUAACCAUAAACUAUUCCGACUAGGGAUUGGUCGGGUCUCUCAAGCCCGAUCAGCACCUUAUGAGAAAUCAAAGUCUUUGGGUUCCGGGGGGAGUAUGGUCGCAAGGCUGAAACUUAAAGGAAUUGACGGAAGGGCACCACCAGGAGUGGAGCCUGCGG